GGACUCUAAAGAAAGAUAUGAAAUUGAAUGUCCAAAGUAAGACUCUGUCAUUUGUUCAUGUGCUUUUUCUUGAAUUGUGAUGAGGUGAUGACUCAGAGUUUGAAGGAUGAACACGAUGUAUCGCAGACAGUGAAGAGAAAGAAAUAGUUCAAGGUGCGUUAUGUUUCAAGCAAGCUGAUGUAGGUUUGCGCCAGGAGGAAUGAUGUUAGGACCACGCCAAGAAGUGUCGUAUCAGGUAUUUAUGCAUACAAAGCAAACUCAGGUGGCAUGUUACUUGAAAAUUUGUGCUUUAGGAUAACUAAAGUAGAAUAGGUUUCCAUUUUAAAUAUCGUUGUAAUUUAAUUACCAUGGAUUGUAGUUGUGUUUACUUGUUGUAUUAGUAAUCUUAUAUUUUGGCUUGAAAUUUUGUAACUGAGUUGUAACUAAUUGCAUCUUGUAUAAGUAGAUUAAGAUUUUGUCUGUAUUAUGGUGGUAAUACCCAAGAUCCGGAUUCAACCAAUUGGAUCAGGUUAAAGGUGUUACAAAAAGAAUGAAGUUAUAAUUUAUGGAUUAUGUAGUCAAAAGUGAA